rnacentral:misc_RNA from 1 species
GAAGCGAAACGAGCGCGCGGCGAAUGCGCACACACACACACACACAGACACAGACACACCACUUGUGACUGGUUGGCUAAGCUUCCUCACAGACGAUAAUAUCACACAGCACAGCUUCUCGUGAAAGAGAGAAAGAGAGGGGAUAGCCUACCAAAGAGAGAGAGAAAGAGAGAGAGAGAGGGGAUAAAAUUAAAAGAGUUCACUCACCUUCUCCCGCUCUUCCUCGUUCUCCUACAACCUCUCACGUCUUCCGAACCAAGGGCAAAGUCGGCCCAAGUCUGUCUGACAGCAGGAGCGGGUCAGGAGGAGACAUUUAUUCUGGCACGAGUGAGGUGGUUCGUUCGUUCUUCAUUUUGAACAUCGCUUUCGCCCGAAAUCGCACGUGUGUCCGUCCGUGUGUGUGUGUGUGUGAAGUGGGGGUGUUUUCUUACCUAGUGAAAUAGCUGUUCGGAUUGGAUAAAAUACGUACAUUACUGGCGACCUCCCCAGCAGCAGAGCUCUGUCCGACUCGUUCAUGGAAGAACACUGUGUGUCCGUGGAAGGAAUAGAAUCCGCCGAACACAUCAAGGAAGCUAGUUCAGCUGCCUUUGCUGACCCGUCUGUACCAAACAAAUUAGAGUCGAAACCUACGCCUGCUGUUCACGGAAUGAACGACUGGAGACCUUUUCUCUACGGCGGACUAGCUUCCAUUACAGCCGAGUGUGGAACGUUUCCCAUCGAUACUACAAAGACUCGUCUUCAAGUGCAGGGCCAGGUGAUCGAUGCCAGACUGCAGACGCUCAAGUAUCGGGGCAUGCUCCAUGCCUUCCUCAAAAUUUUCAAAGAGGAAGGUGCCCACGCUCUCUACUCAGGACUGGGACCGGCUCUAUUGCGUCAGGCGACUUAUGGCACCAUCAAGAUUGGGGUUUAUCAUACGCUCAAGCGUUCGUUGAUAUCAGACCCAGCCAAUGAGACGUUGGCCAUCAAUGUGUUCUGUGGCGUUGUGGCAGGAAUCACGUCCAGUACUAUAGCAAACCCGACUGAUGUCCUCAAGAUUCGAAUGCAAGCCCGGGGUUCUCAGCCGACUGCUUGUGACAACAUGCUUUGUUCGUUUGUGAAAAUCUACAAACAAGAAGGAGUUGCUGGCUUAUGGAGGGGCGUCGGUCCGACUGCUCAGAGAGCUGCUGUGGUCGCUGGAGUGGAGCUGCCUGCCUAUGAUAUUUUCAAGAAGUACAUUAUUCUCUCAGGAUACCUCGGGGACACCAAAGAAACUCAUUUCCUGGCAAGUUUUCUGGCUGGGUUUAUCGGAGCGCUUGCAUCCAAUCCCAUCGAUGUGUGCAAGGCGGCAAUGGCGGCACAAACCAAAUAUCCCACCACGCUUACCCCGAGUGAGGCCGGCCGCCGGCAUCCACCCAGCCAUGCCGGCGCGCCACCACCACCACCCCCCUAUGGAGCAGGAUGAGAUCAAAAAAUGAUGAAGUUUCCUGGUGACGUUUUCCUUCCAAGGACCCGUCCUCCUCCUCCUCCUCCUCCAUCUCGCCUGUUGCAGUUUCUGUGUCGCCACACGCAUGAUGAACCAGCGGAACGUGAAGGCCGAGGUCUCCGCCAUGGCUGGGGCCGCUCCGGC